ACACAUUAGAGACUAUUCUAACAGUGGAGAAAAUCAGAGAUAGUAGUAUGUAUGAAGUAAAACUACUACACUACUGUACAUAAAUACUAAAAUGCUGUAACUGUAUCUACUGGAGGAUUUUUUUUUUCCUACUUCCACUUACUUUUUUUUUUUUUUACACUACAUAUUUUGAGUUUAAUACUUUAGUACUUUGACUUCAAUACUUUUACUCUGAUAAUUUUUUCUAAUUGAUAAUUGAUAAUUGUUUCUCGUUACAAUGUCUUUUUAUGUCUUUAUAAAAAAAGCAAGAAUUACUAAUAUCAGCUUUAUAUUACAAUGGCUUAUCAUAUGUGUAUUUCAUUAGCUUAGCUACCCAGCUAACAAGUUAUUUCCACCAGCAAAGAACAAAAAGGUAUAUUUGUUUUUUAUUAAAAUUUUAGGGUGACCAAACGUCCGUAUUUCCCGGGACAUGUCCGUAUUUUACGUCUUGUCCCGGGCAUCCUGGGUUUUUUUCAGAAAGUGAGGAAAUGUCCUGGUUUUUAAAUUACCUUCAUUGGACCAGAGAGCAGUAGACAGCGUGGAGCCCUGCCUCCCCUCCCUUUUCUGGUGCAGUCUCAAAGUAAGAGCACACACACAACGCUCCUCCCCUCAAAACUUAAAAUCCCUCAUUUUGACACCACAGUGUACAAACUGUUUGCGACAGUGUGGGCGGAAGUAAACCUUGGCAUUGCCUACCUGAUCUGUGCCCCUGCUCAUUUUGCAGUGCACAUGCACGGCACAAAUCGGGCAUGGGGCACAGUUCGGGUAGUGACAGGCUACACAGGGCUGCAUGUGCUUCUUUGACGUUGCUGCUCCGCACGGCACUCCACAGCACCUCUAGCGGUAUGAGAGAAAUACACACCCGUUCUAGUUUCCCCUAUAGUAUAUCAUUCCCAGCACUAUGAUAAUAUGAUGACGGUAAUGAGUAUCACUGUCAACAUGUUUUAUUUUCUUUGGAAAGGCAAAUAAUUUCUCAAAAGUUUAACACAAGCCAAUAGAGGGCACAAUGGUGGAGCUCAAACACAAUCACUACGGCAACCAAGCACCGCAUUCUAACCGUAAUGUCACAAUCCAGUGUCACUGUAAAGAACUGUAAAUUCUAAAGCCUCACAUUUCUCCUCAGUUCACCGAAGAAGAAGCAGCAGAACUGUGCAGCUCGUUACAGUAAAGUUUAAUUUAUUUAAUUAAUUAGCUUUAUUGUGAGAAAAGUUUCUUAGAAGACGAUGGAGGAGUCUAUAUUCAGACAAAGAAAGAGGAAGAGAGAAGAAGAGGAGGAUUUGCAGACGGUUCCACAGCAAACGGACGAUCCUAAAAUCAAAUCCCCAGAAAGGAAGAGAAAGAAGGCAGAGAAAAGACAACAAACAGCCCAGGAAACAAAAGUAUAGAAAAAGGAGAAGAAGGCCUAAACAGUCAAAGGUCAACAACAAGCCAGUUUCCACAGAGAACUACGAAUCUCUCUACACUGUUGGAGAGAGACUCGGAGAAGGAGGCUUUGGAGUGGUCUUCAGUGGAACACACAUUUCUGACGGCCUACAGUUUCUUGACCAUGUCUCCAUAACUUCAUUAUCUCACAUACAUUAAUUUUUAAUCCUCAUGAUCUCUAAUCCUUUUAUUGUCUUUUUGCAUAGGUGGCCAUUAAAUUAAUCCCAAAACAGGAGGAAGACCGAUUCUUCAAAAGCUCUCGUGAUUCCAGGUCUAUUCCAAUAGAAGUGGCCCUGAUGCAAAAGAUGAGCGAGCCACCUGUUAAAAACAUAAUUCAACUCAUCGAGUGGUUCAAUGAGCCUGAGCGCUAUAUUUUGAUCCUGGAGCGUUUUUUUUUCUUGCAUGGGCCUGAAUGACUUCAUUCAAACCUACGGAGGAUCUCUCAGUGAACAGAUGGCAAGAAAUUUAAUGAUACAGGUAGUGAAGGUAAGUGAUUGAGUGCCAGAAGCGAGGUGUCUUCCACAGAGACAUCAAAGUGGAUAACAUUUUGAUCAACACGGACACUUUGAAGCUCAAACUGAUCGACUUCGGCUGUGGUGAUUUGAUCAGAAGAUGCGGAUAUAGUUAUUUUGACGGCACUUUGGAAUACUGCCCCCAGAGUUUUUUGCGCCAUUCCUACAACCGUAUGGUCUUUAGGGGAGAUGCUGUUCCAGGUCAUCAGUGCAUCCUUUCCAUUUAAAGAUGAGGACGAGAUCCUUGGUGGUCAUCUCAGCUUUAAAGAUGGCCUAUCAGAUGAAUUCCAUGAACUGGUUAGGUGGUGUCUGCAGGCCCAGCCAUCCUCAAGACCUAAUUUGCAGCAGAUCUUGGAUCACAAGUGGUUCAAGUCCAGCUUCCCUGCCCAGGAACGGUUUUGCCAGUUUUUAUAGAGAAGAAAAAGUAAACGGCAAUCACUACAGCGGACAAAAAUAUGAAAUGCAAUGCACACAUGACAUACAUUUUUUCAUAGAAACAUGCACAAAAUAUGUGCCAAAAUGAAAAGCAAAAACAACUGUCACGUUGCAGUACUCUAUAUACACUUUAAAUUUACAUUUUCUUUUAUACAGAGUAACUGGACCGUAGUAGUUCUAGUUCACAAGAGCUGAGCUCCGGUAGAGUAAUUUGAUGGAAAUGUAAAUGGUUCUGUAUGUAAAAUACAUGGACUGAAGGUUUACUGUUAAAAUAAAUGAAAUCAUAGUGUUCCUGUUUUUAUACAGUCAUUGAUUAAAACAAAAUGUUAUGUGCAUUCUGUUUCAAUGAUGAGUUUAUGUUUAAUAUUUCAAGGGGCAAGUCAGUAAAGCAGUGCCCCAAUUUAAUUCCACAGAUUUUUGUACGGGCGGGCCGCGGAACAGUGGUCACGACUCUGGGCGUGUGUAGGUCCUGUCUCACAUAUCUCCCCGGCUACACUCAUUCCUUACAGCAAUAAGUACAAAUUUGUACCAUUUCACCAGCCAAAAGGUACAUUCAGUAUUCUGUACCACUGUACUAAUAAACAAUAUAUAUAUUUUAA